CUAGAGUACCUAUGUUGCUCAAACUCCGGUAAGUAGAUUCACACCUGUAUGAGAAGAUUAAGACCAACUAAAGUUAAAGACCUAGAACACUAUGUGAGACAAUAACACUUCCUGUUGGACACAUGCAAGACAUGAUUAAGGUUAUUUUGGCAAAACGACUUACGUGGACAAAAGUGGCUAGACAUGCAAGAUUUGGCUAUGACCCCGCGAAGCCAAGAACCUAAGACUCACUAGAAAGACCGGACCAUAUGUGGGCUGCCUACGUAUCCCGCCUCGAGAGACAAGAAUUAGGUAUGAGUAGUUCGGAAAGAUUUGAUACGUGCGAGAAUUUUAAAAAAAAAUAACUACUUUCGAGAAAAUAUAUUUUUUGUCUUUUUUUUUGAAAAAUAAUGAAACAUGUAAACUCUUUUUGGAUUUUAUUUUUCCUUUUUUUGAUUUUUUUUUUGGAAAAUGAUGGGAAAGUGCAAAAUCUUUUUGGAUCUUUCAUUUUCAAAAAGUUGUGAAAGAAAAAUGUAAUUGGGCUCUACUUGCUUCAUUUAUUUACACUUCACCCUAUUUUUUCUCAUUUAUCCUCAACCAUCAUUGGUCCGCCAAAUGACCUGUUUAACCUUUGAAGAAUAGAACAUGAAGCACAUAAGAUGCAUCAGCAUGGUCUUUUAUUUUUGGGUACACCUGUCCUAGACGAACCCAACCCCUGUGUUGAGUCCCCAAAGUCAAAUGCACAUGAUGCAAACAACUUUCCUACUAGGGAUCCGGCAUGAGGUUAUGUAAUUCUAGGUUGAAACUUGGGGUUGUAUUCUAGACCUGGCUUACUCGAACGGAUAACUUGAGCCAGGGGGGCAGCGUACCGAGAAUACAGAAGCUUCACCGGCUUUGCAACUUGUCCGAACCUCGUUCUAAAAUUGGGAUAUAACUCUAACAGAANNNNNNNNNNNNNNNNNNNNNNNNNNNNNNNNNNNNNNNGAAAAGAAGCCACACGAAGUGCACGCUUCCUAGAUGAUUUAGAAGACUCAGAGAGAAGAGGGUUUCGUAACAGUUUAUAUACAGUCCAAGCAAUAUCAAAGCGGUAAAAAGCAACAUUUAGUACAUUAGGCUCAAACACAUAAAAUAAAUUAGAUAAUAAAUAAAGGCCAACUGUAAUAACUAUUCUAAGCUCGAAUUCUUGAACCCUGAACCAAAGAUUCUGGGUUCUCAUCCCCAGCAGAGUCGCCAGAGCUGUCACACCUCCUUUUUCUAUCCCAAAAAGGGGUAUAGGGGAGUUUUUCCAAUUAAAGUGACAAUAACCAAAACGAAAUUAUUUAUAUCAAAUAUAGAGUCGCCACUUGGGAUAUUUUAUGGUGUCCCAAGUCACCGGUUUAAAAUCCUGAAUCGAGGAAGUUGACUCUUGUUUAUGGUCUGCGAACACAGAAAUCCGGGUAAGGAAUUCUGUUAACCUGAGAGAAGGUGUCAGGAAUUCUCGGGUUCCGUAGUUUUAGCACAGUUGCUCAACUAUUAUUAUUGGCCUAAUUAUCUGUUUAAUUACACAUUUUAAACCUACGUGCAUUUUUAACUUUCUAACCGCUUUUAAUAUUUUUAGGAAAAUUCAUGAUCGUCAUACACUUGCUUAUUUUUGAAAACACAUCGUAAACCACGCUACAUGAAAUGCACCCGCGAUUCAUGGCAUGUUUAAUUUAUUUAACAUUAUUGAAAAUUGGAGUCGUGUCAUAUGAAAUGUACACCCAGAUUUGGAAAUUAUAUAUCACGACUACGUCAUGGGAACCGUACCCGUAGCUAUGAUAAUUUAUAUUAUAACGCGCCUAAAGCAAACUACGAGAUUGUUAAAGAAUACUACAAAUUAUUAAUGGACUAACAAAAGAGAGCAAUAAACCAGACAACUAAUAAAACGUUAAUUAUUCCAAACAUAGAGUGAGAUAGAAGAAAGAAUGGACCUCAAAAGCUUUGAAUCGCAAAACUCAUUAACUGAACGGGACCUUGACCGGAAAACUUCAGCGGCGCCAGAAACGCAAACGGAAAUUAACAACCCGAAGCACCUCGAGUCAUACUCCGAACCUCAAUUGAUCUCCAUUUUCAUACUUGAAAACCAAAAUUCAAAACCCAAAUGAAAAGAAAAACAGAAACGUCUAUAUCCAUAUAUGUAUAUGCACAUUUUUAUCUUUUUUCUGAAAUUUAAACAAACAUUGAAAACCAUAAAAAUGAGCCGCUGAAUCCUUUUCUUUGAAAUCCAAAUUUCAUCCCAUGUUUCCGUCCCAAAUUUUCCCAACGACUCUGUACGUUCUCUGCCUCUGUUUCGUUCUCCCUCCCCUCUGUUUUCGACCCUCUAUCUCUAUUCUUUUCUACCUUCGAUGUCUGUUGUUGCUAGCUAGAGGGUGGUCAAUGGUGGCUAUUGGUAUGGGAGAUGGGUGAGAAUGGUGUGUAGAUGAAGAAGAUGAAGAGAGACACGGUUGGUUAUGGAGAUGACAGAAAUGGGUGAUGAGGGUGGUCAUGUGGCAUUGAGGUUUUGGAGAUGAGUGGUCGCUGGUUCUGUUGCUGGCAGAAGUCGCUAGGAGAGGAGCGAGUUGGUGAGGGAGACAGGCUGCUACUUGGAGAGGAUGACAGCUGGAUUUGGUCUUGGUUGUUCUUCUCUAGGGUUUGUGUUAAGUAAGAUGAAGGAGUUGAAGGUUGUCUAGGGUUUUUUUUUCUUGUGUUGUGAAGGGUCCCCAUGAAGAAGAAGAGUCCUUAGGUUAAAAAAAUGGCUGG
rnacentral:lncRNA from 1 species